UGCCAGCAGCCGCGGUAAUACGAAAGGUGCAAGCGUUGUUCGGAUUUACUGGGCGUAAAGAGAUCGUAGGUGGUUUAUUAAGUCGGAUGUGAAAUCCCGGGGCUCAACCCCGGAACUGCAUUCGAUACUGGUAGACUAGAGUUUGGGAGGGGUAAGCGGAAUUCCGUGUGUAGGGGUGAAAUCCGUAGAUAUUCGGAGGAACACCAGUGGCGAAGGCGGCUUUCUGGACCGAUACUGACGCUGAGACGCGAAAGCGUGGGGAGCAAACAGGAUUAGAUA
rnacentral:rRNA from 1 species